CCCCGCGACAGCGAUCCGGCAGGGCCGACCGGCUGCCUGCGCGAAGUACGGGCGUGGCUCCGGAGAAGGGUGGGCGGACCUCGCGCCGACUGACACAGAGGCCCCGCCCGUGGACCCACCCUUCCGCGCCCGGAAAUGCGGGCUUGCAGGAGACCGGAGUCUGAGCCCGUACCCUGGCUGGCAGCAGACUUCGCUGUCUCAUUUCGGCCCGGGAGUUCCACUUUCAAAGCACUUUCCGGAGGCAUAGAGUCGGCUUGGCCACUGAAGGCCCGGGCUGAGGGCGCUGCACUGUCACCAUGGAGAGAUCUCAAAUGAUCAAUGCAACUGAAGUGGGAAAAUGGGGGAGAAGAUGGAGAUAAGAGCCCAACUAGUUCAGGGUCUCAACUUACUGAAACAAGUCCUUGUAAAAAACA